rnacentral:rRNA from 1 species
UGGGGAAUAUUGCACAAUGGGCGAAAGCCUGAUGCAGCAACGCCGCGUGAGUGAUGAAGGCCUUCGGGUUGUAAAGCUCUGUCUUCUGGGACGAUAAUGACGGUACCAGAGGAGGAAGCCACGGCUAACUACGUGCCAGCAGCCGCGGUAAUACGUAGGUGGCAAGCGUUGUCCGGAUUUACUGGGCGUAAAGGAUGCGUAGGCGGAUACUUAAGUCAGAUGUGAAAAUCCCGGGCUUAACUUGGGAACUGCAUUUGAAACUGGGUAUCUAGAGUGCGGGAGAGGAAAGUGGAAUUCCUAGUGUAGCGGUGAAAUGCGUAGAGAUUAGGAAGAACACCAGUGGCGAAGGCGACUUUCUGGACCGUAACUGACGCUGAGGCAUGAAAGCGUGGGGAGCA